CAAGGAGGAGCUUGAGGGCCUCACUGCCCUGGGAUACUACGAGCUCUUCCAGCCAGAGAGCUUUGUCACUCAGGUCGUCCACCAGUCUCGGCUGUAUGCUACACAAAAGGAUAUAAGGCAAGCCCAGAUCUGCAUGAACCUGGCGAACUACCGCUGCAUGGAGGCCAUGUUGCUUCAUGGUGGGUAUGCUCCAGUCCCCAGGAGAAGGAUGCUCUGGGAAGACAAGCCGGACUGUCGCAACAUGCUGGUUGCUGAAAGCAUAAGAAGAGACGAGCUUGAAGCUGUUAUGAAGGCUCUUCACUUCUGCGACAAUGCUCAACUCAAUGAGGAUGGUUUUUACAAGGUCCGGCCCAUCUUUGAUAACCUCAACAAAAACAGUUGCAAAUGGUUUAGAGACCAACAAUACUUCAGCGUGGAUGAAGUGAUGAUUCCCUACUUUGGCUGACAUUCGGCUAAGCAGUACAUUAAAGGAAAACCCAUCAGAUAUGGCUACAAGGCCUGGGCUAUCUGCACUGCUGAUGGUUGUGGUGUUCACUUUGAGCCAUACUGUGGCCGCCACACAAAUGUUGUUGAUGCUGGCCUGGGACAAGGUCCUAAUGUGGUCUUGGACCUAGUACAGAAGGUCCAGCUUCCAGUCGGAUGUGAAGUUUUCUUCGAUAACCUCUUCAUGACCUUCCCCCUCCUGGACAAGCUGUCUGAGAUGGGUAUAGCUGGAACAGGAACAGUUCGGCAAAACCGACUGUUCAAGGUGCCCAUCGCUUCCAAGAAGGAUGUUAUAAAGAAGUCAGUGGAAAGGGGUUUCCAGGAGACACUCUACAAAGGUGACCAGGUUUUAGCAUGCUGGAAGGACAACCAGCCGGUUUACGUGGCAAGCAACAAGUACUCUGCUGAGAGGACCAACACUGUUGGCCGUUUCUGCCGGACUGAGUGGAAAAAAUUCAGAUUCCGAUACCGGAGAUGAUAGAGGCCUAUAACCAUAAUAUGGGUGGAGUUGACCUUUUAGACAAUAUGGUUGCCUGCUACAGAGUCCCCUACCGAAAGAAGAAAUGGUGGUUCAACAUAUACGUUUGGAGUCUCAGCGUCAGUGCUGUGAACGCCUGGAGACUUCGUAAUCGGAUUACUGGCAACAAAGAGCCCUACCUCAACUUCCUGCGAGAGC